AGUUCACACUCUACCUGGCAGCAGGGGGUCUUCUGCUGCAGAGAACAGUGGAGGCCUCUCUGGCUGCCUCCUCCUUCCUGGCUUGCUUGGGCCCUACUGGAGUUCAGGCUUCACAGAGGCCUACACCAGACCUCCGUGGAAGCCCCGCCCACCCGCCGAUCAGCUGAGAGGCGGGAGAAAAGGAGCUCUUUGCAGCGUGUCUGCUGCUCGAUUGCCGGCCAGGAGAACAAGCUGGAGAGACGGCGAACAGGGCAAGUGGCUGAGGAGCCUUGGGGCUGGGCAGGGGGCAAUGGGGAGUCACGUGAGGUGCCUCUGGGGGGCCCCUCCAGGCAGUGGGGCCCCCAGACAACUGUCUCCCCUUGCCCUAUCGUUGUUACGCGCCUGGGAAGAAGCCUCACAGGAAAGUGGAAAGGGUUGCCCAAGCAGGACUAUCUAUCCUUGUCCUUUUUGCUGCAAAUCUCUCUCUCUCUCUUUUUUUUUUUUACUCAGGGUUUCUUCAUGCUGAAUGAACAAACUGCUAGACUGAACAAUGUCUACAACAUGGAUAUUAUAAUUUUCUUCUGUGAAAUGUUAUACUAACCACAAUGUUGACAACCACAGAUAAUACAGAAAUUAUUUUCCUCUUCAGGAAAAAGUGGCCCCAAUCCAAUUAAUUGAAGGAAAAUAGAACAACUGAUGGCCUCAAUUGUCAUUCGAAUCCAAUGGCUCAACUACUCAGUUCAAGAGAGUUCAGAUGUUCACUGUAGUUCACAGGAACAGGAUCCUACAGCAAACUGGCAGAAGGCAAGCAAAGACCCCCAUAGACAAGAAAGAAGAGUCAGGGGUCCAUAUGGGGAGACAUCAGUCACAUUCUAGGACAGACUCCGAAUGCCAAGCAUAGUCACAUCUAAC